rnacentral:miRNA from 1 species
GAGGAAAACUAUCUACAAAGAUCUCUUUUUCUCUUUCUUUCUCUCUCUCUCUCUCUAUCUGUGUGUGUCUGCGACAUGAGACGAUCGACAUGCAAUGGCUUAUCUUGAUUAAAGAUUAAAGACCAGAAAGAUACAGAUAGAUAGAGAGAGAGAGAGAGAGAGAGAGAGGGAGGGAGGCAAAACAGAGACUC